rnacentral:misc_RNA from 1 species
GUAGGAGCUGCCGGAGGCUGCGAUCUUUUGAUCUUGUUUUUAAGGAUCAACAUCAAAAGAUCGCAGCCUCCGGCAGCUCCUAC